AUACGGAGGGUGCAAGCGUUGUCCGGAUUUAUUGGGUUUAAAGGGUGCGUAGGUGGUUUUUUAAGUCAGUGGUGGAAGCCUACAGCUUAACUGUAGAGGUGCCAUUGAUACUGGGGAACUUGAGUAUGGACGAGGUAGACGGAAUUUGUGGUGUAGCGGUGAAAUGCAUAGAUACCACAAGGAACACCGAUAGCGAAGGCAGCUUACUGAGCCAUAACUGACACUGAGGCACGAAAGCGUGGGGAGCGAACAGGAUUAGAAACCCUAGUAGUCC
rnacentral:rRNA from 1 species